CCUACGGGGGGCAGCAGUGGGGAAUAUUGGGCAAUGGGCGAAAGCCUGACCCAGCAACGCCGCGUGAAGGAAGAAGGCUUUCGGGUUGUAAACUUCUUUUGACAGGGAAGAGCAGAAGACGGUACCUGUCGAAUAAGCCACGGCUAACUACGUGCCAGCAGCCGCGGUAAUACAUAGGGGGCAAGCGUUAUCCGGAAUUAUUGGGUGUAAAGGGUGCGUAGACGGAAGAACAAGUUGGUUGUGAAAUCCCUCGGCUCAACUGAGGAACUGCAACCAAAACUAUUCUCCUUGAGUGUCGGAGAGGAAAGUGGAAUUCCUAGUGUAGCGGUGAAAUGCGUAGAUAUUAGGAGGAACACCAGUGGCGAAGGCGACUUUCUGGACGAUAACUGACGUUGAGGCACGAAAGUGUGGGGAGCAAACAGGAUUAGAUACCCGAGUAGUC
rnacentral:rRNA from 1 species